rnacentral:lncRNA from 1 species
AGAUAAAAAAGGCAAAAACUGAAGUUUUGCAACAUAUGUUAUGUUUUAAAACUAAAAACUCAAUAAGCAUCAAUACAUCCAUCCAUUUUCACAAACGUUAGGACCACUGCAACCCUAUAAAAUCAUUGUUUUUGUAAGAUCCCGUUGACCUUGAAGAAGCUUUGGCGUGGCCUCUUUUUUGACCUCGACCGGCUUGUUACCUGCAAGAAGAGACCGACUGGGACUUUCCGGUCUUUUUCUCUCCGAUGAUAAAGCCAGUGAUGUAGUUUGGUGAAGUAUAUUUAAUACUAGAAGAUUUUUUACCAUUUUGAUUGACUUUAACAUUAUAUUUAUAACCCCACGUGGAUUUUUUUCUGGUAGCAUUAUGGUUCAUUAUGGUUCAUUUAUUUAUGGUCCAUUAUGGUUCAUUAUGGUUCAUUAUGUGCUAUUAUGGUUCAUUUACUUGGCUCUUUGCUGUGUGCCUCUUGCCUGGCCCAAACUGCAAUGACCUCUAGGAUGAGGCAUGCUCGGUCUGCCCCAUGCUGAGCUUCUGGUAGCAUCGUGGGUCGAGGAGGUAUUUUCUUGCUACCGACUACAAUCACCAACACUAGUCUACAAAAAUUAAAUUUCUCAUCCUCUCCAACCUUGCCAAUUCACACACUCUGCCUAACCUUCAUUACGUUCACACCUCACUUCCCAUCCAAUUAUUUGACCAUCCACUCCUAUAUCAGUGCUCUGUUUU